rnacentral:rRNA from 1 species
GAACCAGCGGAGGGAUCAUUACCGAGUUUACAACUCCCAAACCCAAUGUGAACGUUACCAAACUGUUGCCUCGGCGGGAUCUCUGCCCCGGGUGCGUCGCAGCCCCGGACCAAGGCGCCCGCCGGAGGACCAACCAAAACUCUUAUUGUAUACCCCCUCGCGGGUUUUUUUUAUAAUCUGAGCCUUCUCGGCGCCUCUCGUAGGCGUUUCGAAAAUGAAUCAAAACUUUCAACAACGGAUCUCUUGGUUCUGGCAUCGAUGAAGAACGCAGCGAAAUGCGAUAAGUAAUGUGAAUUGCAGAAUUCAGUGAAUCAUCGAAUCUUUGAACGCACAUUGCGCCCGCCAGUAUUCUGGCGGGCAUGCCUGUCCGAGCGUCAUUUCAACCCUCGAACCCCUCCGGGGGGUCGGCGUUGGGGAUCGGCCCUCCCUUAGCGGGUGGCCGUCUCCGAAAUACAGUGGCGGUCUCGCCGCAGCCUCUCCUGCGCAGUAGUUUGCACACUCGCAUCGGGAGCGCGGCGCGUCCACAGCCGUUAAACACCCAACUUCUGAAAUGUUGACCUCGGAUCAGGUAGGAAUACCCGCUGAACUUAAGCAUAUCAAUAAGCGGAGGAAA